UCAUCGCCCAGCCCAGCGCCGAUUCCCUCGCCGCCACCACUCCGAGCGCCGGCACCGCCACCUCAUCUCCCAGUGCCGCCACCACCAUAGCCCCCUCCCCUAGAUCCCAAGGGGGGCGGGGUGAGCACCGUCGACCCCAUCGCUGGUCCUCUGCCCCUGCAAGUCCGCUCACCUCAGCCUCCUCCUAUGUCGUCGGCGGCACAGCAGAGGUGGUCGAGCCGUUGAGGAGAGAAGCGGUGGGAUGUUCCAUUCGCAACGCCUUCGUGCUAUCCCUCAUCGCCUCACCAACCACCAUCAACAACAACGUAGGGAUCUAUGACGGGGAAGACCAAAGAGUUGCAGACCGCCAAGGGGGAGGGGCCCAAGGACAGGCCUGAGCUGGUGGUGGCGAUGACGAUGACAACGGAGGCAGAGGUGCAGGCGAAGGAGGAGGACGGAAGUGUUGUGGACAAGGACACCAUGGCCGCCGUUGCCAAAAUGUCUGCAUCUUCAUCCACUGCCUCUCUGCCAUGAUGAAGUAAAAGAGCAAUCAAUUCACCUAUGUUUUAGGGAUGUUCAAAGGAUGCUGCACAUGUAUAUGUAUGCUCCAAUAUUUUGUCUUAGGUAAUCUGGCCCGUCGAGGAGGGUGUGCGAGCGGUUCAAAGGGGCCCCGUUCGGAGAAAAAUCACGAAACAAACAUUUCGUUUAAUUCGCUGGCUGGCUGGCUCGAUCUUAAAAAGCAGCAGGAUGUGCGUGCGGCCCCAGUCAAAGCCAACAAGCUCACAGUCGGUCUGAAAUAAUUAGCUGUGGAGGUUCGUUAUUCAAUUUGGUUAUAGCUCAUGCUGCAGGCCAGGAGCAAAUGAUUGUUUAUGAAAGGUUUGAUUGCAGGAUUCUUGCUGGAGGAGAUGAACUUUUAUGAGGAGUUGUUGAAGACCAAAGUUUUCCUUGUAAGAAUGCCAUACUUACAAGAAAAGAUUGCCUGAAAGGUCUUUAUGGUUUAAUCUGCAAGGUUAGAGGGCCCGUCGAGGCUAGCGCGAGGUCUGCUCUGGCAUCCAUGAUGUGGGUGUGAUGACUGAGGACUGCUCACGCUUCUCCGCUCACAAACCGUGUGGCGAGUAAAUACUCCACUCCACGACAAUUAGACCUUCCUCCCUCUCAGCUAUGGUUCCACAAAGUGCCCAGACAGCAGGAAGCACACAUAGAACCAUCAAUGCUCCUUUCCGUAGGAGAAAUAGCUGAACGGGCAAUGUUUUCAUCUCUGUAUAAGUUCAGAUGUGAUUACCCAGGUCCAGAAGGUUUGGUCUACUUCUCACUUAAUCCUAUAUUUUCUUGACGUGCACAUAAAUACGUUGAGAAGUUGCAACUAGAAUAAAGCUUCCGCCCGACUGCAGGUUAGUAUAUGCAUUAUAUGUUCUAUAAGGAAUUCCGCUUUCUCAUUGCAACAGCCAGAAGUACAAAAUCUACUGAAGUUUGAAUAUUAAUCCAGCUUAUUACUUGGGGCCUCUGAUAUAUGCAUCAAAAUCAUAGAUUUUUAUUAUUGCAAAUUGUUGGUAACUACUGAUCAUCUUUAUUGUUUUUUAUUCAUACAGUUCACGGGGCAAUGAGUAUGAGAUCAGUUCGUGGGUGUCAGUCAAUAUAAGAUUGGUCUGCAACUAUUUUUCAUCUGAAAAGAUAUACUUUGCAGCAUCAUGUAUGAUAUGUAUAUGCUUGGUUCAGUGUUAUUCAUAGCUAUGUUACUGGGUCUACGUGCUUCCUUCAUAUAUUUUGGCUCACCUCGGCUUCCUCCUGCGUCGGCAACGGCGCAGCAGAGGCAGACGAGCUGACGAGCGUUGUAGGGAUCUAUGGCGGGCAAGACCAAAGCGCUUCAUCCGACCGAGGGGAGCCCAAGGCGAAGCCUACACUAGCAGCGGCAAUGACGGAGCCAGAGGUGAAGGAAAUCCCUAAGGCCAUCGUGCGGCAGCUGGUCAAGGACAAGCUCGCCUGAGCGCCAUGGCCGGAGCUGUCGAAGGAGGAGGGUGGAGGUGUGGUGGACAAGGCCGCCUUUGCCACAAUGCAAACAUCUUCAUCCACUGCCUCUCUGCCAUGUAUGUGCCUCCUGCAGUGGCUCGAUUAAUGCGUCCGGUAGUGUGGCGUUGGCUGGGAACCGUACGGUAUUUGUCUGACGUGCCGUCCACACCGGGGGGGUUGGUCAGUCGACUCCAGGUAUGAGCAGCUCCGAGCUUGAUGGCUGGAUGUGUGCACACAUGUAAUGGGGUAACAUGGUCAUAUUGCUUGGUGUGCAGAGGCAACCUCAUUUUUGGACCAAUAAGAGGGGCGAUGAUGACGACGACUAGAUGAAACAAUCAUGUCUUGGGCAAUCAAGACAGCCUUGGCUUGUGGGACUAAACAGAGCUGAAAUAGUCGGUGUCAGUGUUGGAGUUGCCCUUAGAGCCUACCCUUACCUCUGUUGUAGCCUGCUCAAUUUUGUCGCCGAUGUUGGAUGAUUUGUGCCUUGGACGGUCAUUCUGAUGAGUGAUAACCAGGGCAGUUCUCUUACACUACGAUGGGUAGGUUAUGGACCAAGAGAUGUGGGUGUUGGCUUUGAAGAUGAAUGACAAAGCUGAGCCCUCUUUUGCUAUGCUA